GAUGAACGCUAGCGGCAGGCCUAACACAUGCAAGUCGAGGGAGGAGCCUUCGGGCUUCGACCGGCGUACGGGUGCGUAACGCGUAUACAAUCUGCCUUUCACAUAGGGAUAGCCCGAAGAAAUUUGGAUUAAUACCUAAUGGUAUAUAGAUGUGGCAUCACCUUUAUAUUAAAGCUGAGGCGGUGAAAGAUGAGUAUGCGUUCUAUUAGCUAGUUGGAGAGGUAACGGCUCCCCAAGGCGACGAUAGAUAGGGGUUCUGAGAGGGAUAUCCCCCACACUGGUACUGAGAUACGGACCAGACUCCUACGGGAGGCAGCAGUGAGAAAUAUUGGACAAUGGUCGGAAGACUGAUCCAGCCAUGCCGCGUGCAGGAAGACGGCCUUAUGGGUUGUAAACUGCUUUUGCAGGGGAAGAAUAAGGACUACGCGUAGUUUGAUGACGGUACUCUGCGAAUAAGCAUCGGCUAACUCCGUG
rnacentral:rRNA from 1 species